GUUGGAAACAGAGCUGCAGUCUACGGGAUUCACUGAUGCCCCGUGCAGGGGAGAAAGGGGUGAGAGUUCCAGAAGGAGAGACUUUCCUUCUGGGCCGAGGGAGUGGCUGAGAAGCAGGUGUACCAGGCCCUAACGGAUGCCUAGGUUCGAUCCCAGCACUGCAUGGGCCCCUGAGCACCACCCGGAGUGACCCUGGGAGUAGCCCUGAGCACUGCCAGGUGCCCCCAAAACAAAGCUGCCACUUCAGCUGCACUGUGGAGGGUGAGGAGUGGAGUAUGAAGUGGAUCUGCGCUAAGGAGGUCACAGAUGCGGGUGACAGCCGGACACAGUGCUGCCGCGACAGGAUCCCAGGAUGGGGCUGGCUGGCUCCGGUGUAUGAAGCAGCCAGAACUGGGCUUUUCCUUGCUGAGGUGAGAUGGUGCUGAAGCCAUCAUGAAAAUGUCGCACACCAGCAAGGAACGUGCAGCUCUGCGACCUUCCCAGCCCCUGUGCAGUCACACUCGGGCCUCGGCAGGUGCGAGCUUCACAUUUUUAAAUUCAUGGGGCCAUACCGGCACCCCAGCAACUUGUUUGCUGUCCUGCCCCCUGCCCGCUGCAACCUUUCUAAUGACAUAAAUUACUAAUGAAAAGAAGGGGGAAGGGAAUAGGGAAAGGCCCUUGGGGUAACAGUGGGGG